ACACCACAUGGUUGGCCGUCUUCUUAGGAUUUAUCUUUUAAAUCAUCACCUGACAUCGUCUUCUAUCGCUGUGUUAUCGUACAUGUUUAUAUCCUAUGUCGCAACUCAACAUCUUACGAUGCCCACAUUUUUAAAAUGGUCGAUUUAAAACGAUCUCGUCGCUGUUUUUUAAUCACCCACGUGCGUGUUAGGUGACGGUGGCUAGCAGCGUAGCUUUUUUUGUACGUGACUUCGGGCGAUAUUUAACCGUACAGUUCAUGUAAAGUCAAAUAAUGAAAUGUAAUAUAUAUGUGCUGAAAUGUAUAGUGUUGUUAGUAUGGCUAGGCCGCAGCCGGUUGUGCCAGUGACUUAAUUUUUUCGGCAUGUUAGCAUAGCAUGCUAGCAAGAGCUUCCGGGAAGAUGCAGUUCCGUGCUGUCACGUGACCUUGUUUUUAUGAAUGAGGACCAAUACGUCACACACACCAACAAACAGAGGCGGAGCUGAAUAUAAAAGAGAAGUUAGAGUUUUCUGACCUACGACAGCGGCUUGUUUUGAAAUAGGCUAGCCCUCCGUGGUGAACUUAGCUGCCCCGAAGACUAAUUCCAGAGUGUCGGACCGCACCCUGUCAGCAUCCCGACUGGUGAGGGGUCACAUUACUAGGAAAGUACCAUGGACAAACAUCAGUGACGGGCAAAAGGGCUGGAGAAGCGCCUGACACACGGCAAAGCACCAAGGUGAUUAAUGCUUGACAAGCUCACCGGAGCUUUUGUCAGCAUGUGACUGAUGAGAUGCAGCCAGAGAAGAGGGAAAAUAUCUACCUCAUUUGCACUCAGGGUUCAUGGCUCCUGGGACCAGCUGACGGACAUCUAGCCAAGUGCAUUGUGAACAGGAGAGAUGACCUGUGGCAACCAGCUGCUCAAAAACCUGCUUCUUUUGUCCCUGAUCUCUUCGGUCUGUGGAACAUUUGAAGUGAAUGCGACACAGACCUCCUAUCAGGCAGAGGAGAACGAGGACAUCACACUGGAAUUUAUGUUCACAACCAAAGCUGACAGUUCCCCUGACCGGUUCGAAAUCUAUUGUGAACUGUUAGCUGACGACGAGCACGUAGUCGUGUUUCAUCUGUAUGAAGGUGAAGAGUUCCUCUGGUCUCAAAAUAAACAGUUUGCAGGACGAGUCCAGUACGACAAACACCUCCUCAGAGAAGGACGACUCGUACUGAACGUGUCCAGACUCAGAACUCGUGACUCUGGCCGGUACCUGUGUACAGUACACACAAGUUAUGGGAGCAGCACUGGGAGAUGCUCGCUCAAUGUCAUUGCAGCGAGGCAUUUGCUUGAACCUGAGACACUGAGCACAAGUCGACCACAACCACAGAGUCGAGGAAGGUACGGCCUCUACGGGGCACUGGGACUGGCAGGAGUAGUUCUACUGUUUGUUUGUUUCCGUUUAUACAGACAAUCGUGGUUGAUUAAAAAGAUUCAAUCAGCCACUCCAAACCAACAAGAUUUGCUGGAAGACUAUGAAGACCGUUCAAACAUUUGCGCUAUGCCUAAAGAACAAGAAUUAGUCAUUCUUGCUCUGCAGGAAAACGAUUCAAUCAUUUGCACGGUGCCUAAAGGUCAAGAUUCCCACUCAGAGAAAAGUAACAGUUCAGGGUAUGGAGGGGGAGAAACAGAUUCACAAACUUAAAACUUGUGCACACCAAGAAAACCAGUUAUUAUGGCAGGGCUUGGUAUCGUCACUGAUUUCCUGAAUUGAUUUGAUUUAGAUUUUUCGAUUGGGUGGGCAAUGCCGAAAAAUUUCACACCUUUAUUUUGUUCGGUUCAUUUUCACACUGCACUUUUUAAAGCAAACCAAACUGCCUGCACACUGUCAUGCAGUAUUGCCCGAAACGACCACUGAUCAGGAAGAAAAAAAAAGCAUGAGGAAGGAAAAAAAAAACACGGCUCAUCGAUUGGCCAGGACCGAAAUCGGAAAUCCAUCCCCUUCAGCCGGCAGAUAGCAACUGCGUUAUAGUCCUCUGACCAUAUAUCAAUAAGCGCCUGCAUCUCCUCACUACUCCACAUCUGCCCACGAGACAUGUUCCAACUUUUUCUUUUGUUACCUCUGCUUCUCCCGGUUCGCGCUGUUGGUUUUGGGUUUUUUUCUGCCCAAAAUACACUGCACUCUGCGUCACUUCCUCUCUUUGGUCCACUUCCUCUCUUUGGUCCACUUCCUCUCUUUGGUUCGCUGGAUAGUCCGUUUGCAUUUCCCACUGUAAGCGAAUCGCACCAGGAUUCACUUGCAAGUAAACCGAGACCCCCAGUUUUCAAGCACACCGGGGUUCGCUCAUUUGGUCCACACCACUCCAAACGAACAGAACUAUCCGCGGAAGUGGACCAGGGUACGUUUAAAGCGAACCAAUAGCGCCAGUGUGAAUGUGUCCUUUAAGACAAGUUUUAAGACCCGACACAAACUGACCUAAACCGCUAGACAUAAACAGUUGCUGGAAAGCGCUCUGUGCUUGUUUAAAACAUGAUGUCAGUGGCGGUGGAUGAGAGACUGCGGACAGUAUUGACUUUUUCCUCGUGGAGGUUUUAUUGCACUCACAGUAACAAGCAUAGUUGUCAUCAGCUCAAGUUAUCUUCAGGUCUGUCUCCACCGCGGCAUCUUUACUCCGUGUUUGUCCAAAACAUAACAGACACCUAACGGUUACAGAUAAGACCCGGUAACGUCGGAGCUCCUCAAUACUAUGGUUGUUAAUAAUUUAGCGCCACGGCCUGUUUACUACCGGCGAGAUUACCAAGGUCACAGUUUGACACAUCCGUGGAAAAAGGCCUAUGUAUAAAGAUCAAUCUCAGAUUUUAUGAAUUGAUAUCAUGUCACUCAAAUGAAGAUCAGUUUGUUUUUAUCAGUUUUUAACCCAGCCCUGUAUUAUAGUGAUGUUGUGUUACAGCUAACAUGAAACAAGCGUAUCCCUCUGCACUGAACAAGUUAACACAUCAGAGUCAACUUGUCUGCACAGAUAUCCGCCCUCUUGUUACACUGCAUGCCUACCUACAACACAUCACUGACAUUGCUGUGCCCAAGUUGUACAUGGAAGUGGAAAUGACGGUGCUAGACUCACUUUGGCAUGCAACGCUAGGUACCGUGUCUGAAGGGUUACUUUUGGUUUCAAAGGUACCAUACCGAAAAUGUUAGGGGGAACCGGGGCUAUAGAGGGCCACUUAAUUGUACGUAACUGUAACAGUGCAUCAUGUAAUGGCUGAGUGGAAGCUGGACUUUCAUGUGCUACGAUCAAGAGCGAUGCAUGAUAGCCACACAGGAGAGAGCAUCAUAGCGUUACUAAAGGAGGCUGGUACUGAGUAUAGAUUGGCGGCAAAAGAUCCCACAUUGUAACAGACAGUGCAUCCAAUAUGAACUUUGUGGCUGGACUGAGAGACUUGACCCACGUAUAGUGUUUUGAACACAGCCUGAAUCUGACCUCAUAGAGAGCACUGGAAUUGUUAACAGUGGUGAGACUACUCGGCAGUCACAGCCUUUUUUGGACGCAACACCAUAGCCAGCCACCAGCUAAAGCCCAAACAGGACCUGCUCCAGCUUCCAGGACCCAGGUCAGUCACAAGAUGGGCCAGCUCAGAUGACAUGAUUUUUAGAGCAAUGACGAGUCACCUAUGCACCAUCACGUCAGCAGAGGCCCAGAAAGACUGAAAAGGAUAUCUUAACACUGAGCCUGGCUGGCAUCACACGUGCCAAGGAAGUGCUCCAGGCACUUGAGCCAAUGAAGGAUGCCACUUUGGUGAUGUCAUUGGAGAGCACGCGCAUUCUGUCUAAAAUUGCACCACUUCAUGCCAAGCUGGUCACAAGCACAGAAGGAAGCCUGGAUGACACAGACAGUGAAGGACAUCAGAGCUGCUUCAGCACAAGAUCUGGGGAAGAGAGAUGCCAGUGAGAGGAAGACACUGUGCCUGGUAUCAGCUCUCGAUGCUAAGUUUAAGGAUCUACUCUUUCUCUCUGAAGCAGAGACCAGUAAGACCUCCUCCAGCCUGAUUGAUGCUGUGGUGGCGGCCAUGAAGAAGCUACAGAAUCAACAAGAGGAGGUAGACAGUCCGGUGGAGGAGAAGACUCGUCUGAGGUUUAUCACCCACCUAACUAUGAAGAUAGCCCUACCAUCGCCACCCAGCCACCCAUGAAGAGACAAAGGAGCACCUGUGCAUUGACUUGAAGUGACAUUUGCCUCUGCCAAAGUCAAUGCUGCACCAAAAUCUGCACAUCAGUGCCUACAGCUACUCAGAGUAGCAAAGUGCUUCCUGUGCAAUCCUACUACAAGUGUCUGGACAGAUUUCUCCACCGCAGGAGACAUCGUAACUACACAAGGAAGAGUCCUGAAAGCUCGGCAUGUUGACCCACUUGUCUUCCUCCACAAAAACCUUGACAGUAAAUCAUAAGCACUGGCAUUCAUACAAACUGGAGUAAUGUGAGAACCAAGUUGAAAUAAUGAGAGAUUGUUCAGCAUCGCAAUAUAUUAACUUAUUGUACCUUUGUUUUUGUUUUCUUUCUGCAAGCACUUUUAUCUUUCAUUUCAUUCAAAUAGGCAGAUGCAAUUCCAUUGUUUAGACUGAACAAAACACAGUGUUACUACAUAAGAUAGAGAAAGCCGUUCAGCACUCAGAGUGGAAAACACAUGACCACAAUGAGCUAGAUUCCAAUACAACAACCCACCCACAGAUAAACAUGGCAUUAAAAAACAAUACAUGUACAUACAUUCUUUUAAAAACCGAUUUCAGUGUGCUAAAAACAACAAUGGCCUUAUUUAGAGAGGAUAUCUCGCAGCCACCUUACAUCUCUUAAAGGCUUGUGGAUUCUGCACGUCCUUUAUUACAGGAGGCAGCUGGUUCUGCUCCGUAGCACCAAUGUGAAGAGAAGAAACCAUACACAUCGUGGUUUUGAAUCUAUGGAUGUUAGAGGGACCAUGCAAAAUAAUUUUGUGACAUUAAAUCCUGCACUAUGCAAUGGGAUAGGACAAAAUAUUGCUUUGGGAAUACAAUUUACUCCUUUUUUUUUGUGAAUAUGGGGCUCAAUAUUUGUUUUUAUUUUUAUUUAUUUAACCUUUGUUUCACGUUGAGAUUGAAAAUCUCACCUGGCCAAAACUGUCCUGUGCACCUUUUUACAGCAGUGCCUUCAGUGUUGCCAACUUGUUGACUUUCUAGCUAGAUUUUUUUUCACUUUCAGACCCUCUCCUGCCUUAAUUUCUAAAAAAUAACCCACUGCCUCCGCAGGCAAAUGGACCUGCACUUGUAUAGUGCCUUUCUAGUCAUUCAACCAUUCAAAUGACGUAAAGACUACAUGUCCAUCAGGAACCAUCAGUAUCUUGCCCAAGCAUACUUCGAUGUGCCAUUGAGGUACAGCCUAUUGAGCUAUCACGUUACGAGGUGGAGCUCUCUGGAUGGCUGCUAACAUUUGAUAUAUGAGGCAUAACCCAAAUGUGUCUAUAGGUGUAACUGGAUAGGCAGCUUCUCCAUGCAGAUUCUGACAGUGCCAAAGAAGUAACCAAUGUUCUAGACGCUUUCAAACUAACAGCAAAAACACUCUAAAUGGGUCCCUUUGUAUUUUGACAAUGAAUGUUUGUUGUUGCAGUAGCUGAUGGGAGAUUAUCAGAGACCCAAGCCAUUGCCCUAGCAACAGAAUAGCAAGUAGUGUUGAUCAUUGCUGAUAUCAUCCACACUCCCAUAUCGUCGCUGUCCAAUGAAAAACACGUAUCUCCGCUUUUGAUGAUUUCAACUUUCUAUGCGCUUUGAUGGACACUUCUGACACCCAAUAGAGAUACGUGUUGAAAAGAUGAUGUAAUAAAACGUCUUUCAAUUGGUCAUUUGGAUACCCACACUAACGGUUGCUAGGGAAUAUUAUGGACACUCCAUGCACUGUAGAAAGUCAAAAUCGUCAAAAGUGGAGAUACAUAUUUUUCAUCGGACAGCGACGAUAUGCUGUCAUAGGACACUAAAGUAAAACACAUGGUAAAAAUGAUUGAACCCUGCCAAUAUGCACCUUGAUGUGUGCAUUUUAGUCAGUCCGUUGUGCCUGCUCUGUAUCAAGGAGCACCAGCUGCAGUCCAGGAGUGAACCGCUCAUGCUUUAAAGAUAGAUAGUUACUUUAUAUUGCUGAAAUGUCUUUAUUUAAUUCAAAGCAUGCCUGUUUGAAACAGGCGAUUGCUUGGUCUGUUGUAUUGCUGCUGUGCUUUCUCGAGAACCGCUCAUACAAACCGCUUCACACUCCACGCUGCCCUUCUUUGGGUCCGUAGCAAUACACCUGGGCCCCACAUAGCUAUAGAUUCAUUGUGAUGGGCUGAUGUGAAGAACAAAUCGUAUGUCGAAACGGGUCCCCAGCAGUACACCUGGGGAGUGUGAAGUAGAUCGGAUGAAUGGUUUUCGGGACAUGCAAAGAUUAGAUUACAGUAUAUAAAUAGUUGAGUGUUUCUGCAGAUAGAGUUAGUAGAAUUAUAUUUAAAGUUUAUGAAAACGCGCUGUAUUUUUUAAAGUUCAAUAAAUCUGGAU